AAAAAAUAAGGAAGUUUUUUCGUGUUCCUUCUUUGAAAAAUGGGGCAAGAGCUUUCUAAAUGGAUGUAUAUGUCCAAGCUUUAGGAAAUUCUAAUUGUGCUUUAUUUUGGACUCUCCUGCAUGCUGACCACCGGGAGGUGGGAAGUUACUCUCCAGAGGAGAUGAUCUGAACCUAAAGGACCUUCACAAUAUGAGAAAUGUCCAAAAAAUAACAGAAUGAGAUAAGGACCAAGAGAAAGAUGGAGUAAGAAAUAGAGGAGGAAAAUGAAGGUUAAAAAACCAGAGGAUGAUGGGAGAUCAGUUCUGGAACUACCUUUUAAUAAAAGAGUUUCACAGCAUGUGCUCUAAAGGAAUUGCAGAGCGAGGCUCCAGGCCCUAGGCAAGCUGCAAGCAGCAGUUUUUCCAUGAUGACACGAGGAGAGCUGCAUCAAUACCACCGAUGUCAAGGUCCCCAAGAUUUGGGGGAGAGAAAGGUCUCCGUCAAGGGUCUAGGGGGCCAUGUGCAGGAGCUGCCAAUAACAAAGAGACUUCUGUUCUCACUGGCCUGUCCUCCACCCUGGCCCAGAGGCACAGUCAUUCAUUUGACCCUCCUUCUGCUGUGUCUGUGUGAAGACCCCCACUCCAAACUACUUCAAUGGCAAGAGGCGACCGGGAACAGCUGGGAACUGUUGUUAGCUUCUGGCAACAUCCUGGAAUUUCUUCCUUGUGGAUCCUGUGCCCCUGAGCUGCUGGGGGCCCCUGACUUGACCUAGAGUUGAACUUAGCUGAAGGGUCCAGGGCUAGGGGUUGCCUCCUUGUCAGCCCUGAUAGUAGCAUGAAAUUACACAGUCUUUCCAAGAAAGCUGAGGCUGCCUUUCUAGCCUUUCCUGGGGUAGAAAGACUAUCAGAGGCUAUGUUUUCUGCAAAUCCAUUCAUGUUUUCCAAGGGCAGGAUAGUGCAGGAGAGAGUGACCAGAUAAGACACUCGCUUUUGUUCACAAACACCCUGAGGAGGUCCCUUAAGAGAUAGCAAAGCUUCUGGUGGGGAUGAGGCAGAGAAGGUUUGCUUCAGAUAAGAUGCUGGUUGAGGGAUAAUUGUUGUUUUCAAGGGAGGAGAUACAAAACAUCCGUUAAUGGGGUUUGUCCAAGGAUGAACUUUUCAUUCACAGAAUUAGAGAAUGGGGAGUUGCAGCAAUUCUAGUCUAACUCUUUCUUUUAAAAUACAAGCAAAAAGAGGCCAAGAGAGGGAAGGUGACUUUAACUGGAUCCCACAGCAAGUCAGGAGUAAAGCUCUGUGUAGGGUUGGAUGCUCUGACAUAAAGUCCACUUCUUUUAGCUACUGAGUCCCAAUAUUUCACCUCUCCACCUUGUCAUUUCUCUAUGUCUUUAUUUAUUAAGGAGUCCAUCCACCCAUUCAUGCAUUCCUUUAUGUGUUUGCUCAUCAACGUUUAUUCAGAGUACAGAGAUAACUGACAGUUCCUCAAGGAAUGUAUGAUGUCAUGGAGGAGCUGCCCAUGACUGUGUAGCAGAGGGACUAGCCAAGCAGUGUGGGAAUGGCAGAGACAGGGCAUUAUCAUGGUGAGAUUGAAGAAGGCUUCAUAGGGAGGAUGGCAUUGGAGCUGAGCCUUAAGGUGGAAAAGGAUUGCAUUUGUCAAAUAACAGGAGAAACGCUUUAGCACCAUACUUCUAGAAGUGGCAUGAAGAAUGAAUUGAAGAAGUCAGACGCUGGCACCAAAGAGAUGAGUUAUAGCAAUUGGUUCAUUCCACAAAUCAGCGAUACAUGCUUCAUGUCUUCAGAGGCCAUCCAUGGUGUUGGCCACUGUGGGGAUGUCAAGAUGUAAAGACCUGGACCCUUUCCUUAAGGAGCUGAACUUGCCAAAACACAAAUGUGCUCAAAUAACAUAACGAAAUGCAAAAUGAACACAGGACUAGAAAUUGUGAGCUCUGG